CCGCUGACAUAAUUUGUGGUUAGCUGAUAAUACUGGGGAGCAAGCAAUGAGAAGGUAAAGGGCUUUUAGAUGCUUUUUCUGCCUUUAGCUGGGGUGAAGAGAAAGGAGCAGCGUGGUGCUUGUUCAUUCGUAUUUAGGCUUUGAAGGCGGCUGCUGGUCUUCUCCUUCAUAACUUCUGCGUCUACUGUACAUGAGCUGGAGUGAAGGCAGAGUCUCGUGAUGGGCGCUAAUGAGGGAAUUAAUUGCUUCUUGGUGUCGGGACUGACCUGAUGUAAGCCACCAGGAAGUGGAGCACAGUGUUGCAGGGAAACAAGACGCUGCCUCUCCUCGUUAUCUGGUAAAACAUGGCCCAGAACCUCCCUGCUCAUCCUGUGCCGCGCUGUGACGUCAUCUGGACCCACCUUGUAGCCCGUGAUGGUACUGACGU